AGGUCCCGCACCAGCCACUGGGUGGUGAAGGCAUCCUGCGGUGGCAUCCCCCAGCGCAUCACAGCGUUGAGGAAGGCCUUGCGCUGCCGGGUGUUGAAUCCCAGCACCUGGGGGCCGCAAGGGAGGGCAUGGACUGUCAAUAUCCGUCAACAGAGAAGCACUCGUUCAUGGAAAAACCACGGACUUAAAGGACACCAGGGAGUGAACCGGGAAGAGCUACGGCAGGAAAUCAGGAAACAGGUGCCACCUUCUGGACGCUCGUCGAAGUCUUCAUCCUCCUCCUCCGAUCCCACUGAGUACUCGGACUGGUUAUCUGUGGGGAGAGGGCACUGCAUCAGGGCCAGCUCCCAGGGCAGCACAAUGCACACUCAUAGCUUCCCUCGCCGCUGCCCAGCGCUCACGGCCCACAACCGCAUGCCUACUUCCCCGCCGCCUGGCCUCUGCGACUCCCGCGAGAAUCUUCUGGACACCGCACGUCCUCUUCGUCUCUUACCUGCAGCGGGCUUCUCCUCCCUGCUCCCCGCGUCUCCCCUGAGCCUGUCCUCCGGCGCCACCCGCGUCUGUCCCGCCCUGACUCACAGACACCCUCUGUGUAUUGGUACUUUAUCCCCCGAGGUUCUCCCCAAAGUCUGGUCUCACCCCUCAAACCAAGGACCUGUUCUGCCUUUUGCCCGGCGUUACGGUAAGAGCUCAGACUCCCCGCAGACUCCCCAUUCAAGCCCACGGACGCUGCCCCGCAGAGGUGGCCCAGGGUACACCGCGCCCACCCUGGCGUCUCACCUUGUCU